GCGAACGGGAUUAGAUACCCUGGUAGUCCACGCCGUAAACGAUGAGUGCUAAGUGUUAGAGGGUUUCCGCCCUUUAGUGCUGAAGUUAACGCAUUAAGCACUCCGCCUGGGGAGUACGGCCGCAAGGCUGAAACUCAAAGGAAUUGACGGGGGCCCGCACAAGCGGUAGAGCAUGUGGUUUAAUUCGAAGCAACGCGAAGAACCUUACCAGGUCUUGGCAUCCUCUGAAAACUCUAGAGAUAGAGCUUCUCCUUCGGGAGCAGAGUGACAGGUGGUGCAUGGUUGUCGUCAGCUCGUGUCGUGAGAUGUUGGGUUAAGUCCCGCAACGAGCGCAACCCUUGAUCUUAGUUGCCAUCAUUAAGUUGGGCACUCUAAGGUGACUGCCGGUGACAAACCGGAGGAAGGUGGGGAUGACGUCAAAUCAUCAUGCCCCUUAUGACCUGGGCUACACACGUGCUACAAUGGACGGUACAAAGAGCUGCAAGACCGCGAGGUGGAGCUAAUCUCAUAAAACCGUUCUCAGUUCGGAUUGUAGGCUGCAACUCGCCUACAUGAAGCUGGAAUCGCUAGUAAUCGCGGAUCAGCAUGCCGCGGUGAAUACGUUCCCGGGCCUUGUACACACCGCCCGUCACACCACGAGAGUUUGUAACACCCGAAGUCGGUGGGGUAACCUUUAUGGAGCCAGCCGCCUAAGGUGGGACAGAUGAUUGGGGUGAAGUCGUAACAAGGUACCAAGGGCGAAUUCGCGGC
rnacentral:rRNA from 1 species